GGGUGGAUAGCUCAGUUGGUAGAGCACCUGUGUCACAUACAGGGGGUCGCAGGUUCAAGUCCUGUUCCGCCCACCA
rnacentral:tRNA from 1 species